rnacentral:tRNA from 38 species
GGCCAGGUAGCUCAGUUGGUACGAGCGUCCGCCUGAAAAGCGGAAGGUCGCCGGUUCGACCCCGGCCCUGGCCACCG